rnacentral:rRNA from 1 species
GAUGAACGCUAGCGGCAGGCUUAAUACAUGCAAGUCGUGGGGCAGCAUGAAGUAGCAAUACUUUGAUGGCGACCGGCAAACGGGUGCGGAACACGUACACAACCUUCCUUUUAGUGGGGAAUAGCCCAGAGAAAUUUGGAUUAAUACCCCGUAACAUAGCGAUGUGGCAUCACAUUGCUAUUAUAGCUUCGGCGCUAGAUGAUGGGUGUGCGUAUGAUUAGAUAGUUGGCGAGGUAACGGCUCACCAAGUCUACGAUCAUUAGCUGAUGUGAGAGCAUGAUCAGCCACACGGGCACUGAGACACGGGCCCGACUCCUACGGGAGGCAGCAGUAAGGAAUAUUGGUCAAUGGACGAAAGUCUGAACCAGCCAUGCCGCGUGAAGGAUUAAGGUCCUCUGGAUUGUAAACUUCCUUUAUAUGGGACGAAAAAAGGUCUUUCUAGAUCACUUGACGGUACCAUAUGAAUAAGCACCGGCUAACUCCGUGCCAGCCGCCGCGGUAAAAC